GAAUGAAGAACGCAGCAAAAUGCGAUACUUGGUGUGAAUUGCAGAAUCCCGUGAACCAUCGAGUUUUUGAACGCAAGUUGCGCCCGAAGCCUUUUGGCCGAGGGCACGUCUGCCUGGGCGUCACGCAUCGCGUCGCCCCCCACAAUUCUCCGUAAAGGGAACAUGUGUUUUGGGGGCGGAUAUUGGUCUCCCGUGCUCAUGGCGUGGUUGGCCGAAAUAGGAGUCCUUUCGAUGGACGCACGAACUAGUGGUGGUCGUAAAAACCCUCGUCUUUUGUUUCGUGCUGUUGCUCGCAAGGUAAACUCUUUAAAAACCCCAAUGUGUCGUCUCUUGACGACGCUUCGACCGCGACCCCAGGUCAGGCGGGACUACCCGCUGAGUUUAAGCAUAUCAAUAAGCGGAGGA
rnacentral:misc_RNA from 1 species